rnacentral:rRNA from 1 species
AUGGAGUCCACUGCGUCACCGCCGUCGCAGCCAUUGCCUCCGCCCACUGCCACGCCGGCCACAGCCGCCGGCACUGUCGUCGCCGCCACGGAUCAACAAGGCUGUGAUGCCAAUUGUUGGCGCCGCCUCUUCUCGCAGCGCCGCUCUUCUUCUUGCUCUAUCUCACACAACUCUCUCUUUGGUUUGUGUCACACAACACAAAGAACACAACCAAGAAGAAGACCGGCUCUUACUUUGCACGAGAGGCCCUUUUCCUUGGUGGAACAAGAGACUACAUUGUGUUUUUCCCAGCCCUCUCGGCUUCAUCACUUUUCAUUUAUUGACUGA